GGCCCCUUAGCUCAACAGGAUAGAGCUCAGGUUUCCUAAACCUGCGGUUCCGGUUCGAGUCCGGAAGGGGCCUCCA
rnacentral:tRNA from 1 species